GGUUGGUUAGCUCAGUUGGUUAGAGCGUGGUACUAAUAAGCUAUACGGCUUAGCGGUGAAUGCCAAGGUCAUGAGUUCGACCCUCAUACUGACCA
rnacentral:tRNA from 1 species